GACAGAGGAUGCAAGCGUUAUCCGGAAUGAUUGGGCGUAAAGCGUCUGUAGGUGGCUUUUUAAGUCUGCCGUCAAAUCCCAGGGCUUAACCCUGGACAGGCGGUGGAAACUACCAAGCUGGAGUACGGUAGGGGCAGAGGGAAUUUCCGGUGGAGCGGUGAAAUGCGUAGAGAUCAGGAAGAACACCGGUGGCGAAAGCGUUCUGCUAGACUUGUACUGACACUGAGGGACGAAAGCUAGGGGAGCGAAUGGG
rnacentral:rRNA from 1 species